AGCCUCCCAGUGCUUACCACAGGCUGUGUUCUUACACUGGCUGUACAGAAAGAGGAGGUAGAGUAAAUCCACCCAUAUACACCCCAGCCUAGGCUCUUUGCCUGGUCUGUAUUGUGAAUGGGAGGACACGG
rnacentral:snoRNA from 2 species